UACGUAGGGUGCGAGCGUUAAUCGGAAUUACUGGGCGUAAAGAGCUCGUAGGCGGUGUGUCGCGUCGGUCGUGAAAACUUUCAGCUUAACUGGGAGCUUGCGGUCGAUACGGGCAUCACUGGAGUUCGGCAGGGGAGACUGGAAUUCCUGGUGUAGCGGUGAAAUGCGCAGAUAUCAGGAGGAACACCGGUGGCGAAGGCGGGUCUCUGGGCCGAUACUGACGCUGAGGAGCGAAAGCGUGGGGAGCGAACAGG
rnacentral:rRNA from 1 species